rnacentral:rRNA from 1 species
CAGCCGCCGCGGUAAUACGGAGGGUGCAAGCGUUAAUCUGAAUUACUGGGCGUAAAGCGCACGCAGGCGGUCUGUCAAGUCGGAUGUGAAAUCCCCGGGCUCAACCUGGGAACUGCAUUCGAAACUGGCAGGCUAGAGUCUUGUAGAGGGGGGUAGAAUUCCAGGUGUAGCGGUGAAAUGCGUAGAGAUCUGGAGGAAUACCGGUGGCGAAGGCGGCCCCCUGGACAAAGACUGACGCUCAGGUGCGAAAGCGUGGGGAGCAAACAGGAUUAGAUACCCCGGUAGUCCCUGUCUCUUAUAA